rnacentral:rRNA from 1 species
AGUGAACGCUGGCGGUAGGCCUAACACAUGCAAGUCGAACGGCAGCACAGUAAGAGCUUGCUCUUACGGGUGGCGAGUGGCGGACGGGUGAGGAAUACAUCGGAAUCUACUUUUUCGUGGGGGAUAACGUAGGGAAACUUACGCUAAUACCGCAUACGACCUACGGGUGAAAGCAGGGGAUCUUCGGACCUUGCGCGAUUGAUUGAGCCGAUGUCGGAUUAGCUAGUUGGCGGGGUAAAGGCCCACCAAGGCGACGAUGCGUAGCUGGUCUGAGAGGAUGAUCAGCCACCCUGGAACUGAGACACGGUCCAGACUCCUACGGGAGGCAGCAGUGGGGAAUAUUGGGCAAUGGGCGAAAGCCUGAUCCAGCCAUACCGCGUGAGUGAAGAAGGCCUUCGGGUUGUAAAGCCCUGUUGUUGGGAAAGAAAAACAGCAGGUUAAUACGCCGAUGUUCUGACGGUACCAAAAGAAUAAGCACCGGCUAACUUCGUG